GCUUUUGGCGAGGUGCCUUCCGAGUUCCCUGGAACGGGACGCCAUAGAGGGUGAGAGCCCCGUCUGGUCGGACACCGAGCCUCUGUAAAGCUCCUUCGACGAGUCGAGUAGUUUGGGAAUGCUGCUCAAAAUGGGAGGUAUAUGUCUUCUAAAGCUAAAUAUUGGCCAGAGACCGAUAGCGCACAAGUAGAGUGAUCGAAAGAUGAAAAGCACUUUGAAAAGAGGGUUAAAAAGUACGUGAAAUUGUUGAAAGGGAAGCGCCUAUGACCAGACUUGGGCCCGGUGAAUCAUCCAGCGUUCUCGCUGGUGCACUUUGCCGGGCACAGGCCAGCAUCAGUUUGGCGCGGGGGAAAAAGGCUUUGGGAAUGUGGCUCCCUCGGGAGUGUUAUAGCCCAUUGUGUAAUACCCUGCGCCGGACUGA
rnacentral:rRNA from 1 species